rnacentral:rRNA from 1 species
CCCUUAGAUGUUCUGGGCUGCACGCGCGCUACACUGAAGCUAUCAACACGUUUUCCCUCCCUGAGAAGGGCGGGUAACCUUUUGAAUCAGCUUCGUGGUAGGGAUCGGGGCUUGCAAUUGUUCCCCGUGAACCAGGAAUUCCUAGUAGACGCGAGUUAUAAGCUCGCAUCGAUUAAGUCCCUGCCCUUUGUACACACCGCCCGUCGCUACUACCGAUUGAACGUUUUAGUGAGGCAUUUGGACCGACGCAUCUCAGUUUAACCGCUGGUUUGUGUUGGAAAGACUUCCAAACUUGAGCGUUUAGAGGAAGUAAAAGUCGUAACA